rnacentral:rRNA from 1 species
GAUGAACGCUGGCGGCGUGCCUAAUACAUGCAAGUCGAGCGGACGGACGAGAAGCUUGCUUCUCUCAUGUUAGCGGCGGACGGGUGAGUAACACGUGGAUAACCUACCUAUAAGACUGGGAUAACUUCGGGAAACCGGAGCUAAUACCGGAUAAUAUUUUGAACCGCAUGGUUCAAAAGUGAAAGACGGUCUUGCUGUCACUUCUAGAUGGAUCCGCGCUGCAUUAGCUAGUUGGUAAGGUAACGGCUUACCAAGGCAACGAUGCAUAGCCGACCUGAGAGGGUGGUCGGCCACACUGGAACUGAGACACGGACCAGACGCCUGAGGGAGGCAGCAGUAGGGAAUCUUACGCAAUGGGCGAAAGCCUUACGGAGCAACGCCGCGUGAGUGAUGAAGGUCUUCGGAUCGUGAAACUCUGUUAUGAGGGAAGAACAUAUGUGUAAGGAACUGUGCACAUCUUGACGGUACCUAAUCAGAAAGCCCCGGCUAACUACGUG